UUUAUCUAUUUUUAGGUAUGAUUGUUGGUGCAAUGUGUGCAGUAACUGGUGUAUUAACAAUUUCAUUACCAGUACCAGUAAUUGUAUCCAAU
rfam:Schistosoma haematobium C9725220_1, whole genome shotgun sequence.